rnacentral:rRNA from 1 species
UUUUAUUUGAGAGUUUGAUCCUGGCUCAGGAUGAACGCUGGCGGCGUGCCUAACACAUGCAAGUUGAGCGAUUUACUUCGGUAAAGAGCGGCGGACGGGUGAGUAACGCGUGGGUAACCUACCCUGUACACACGGAUAACAUACCGAAAGGUAUGCUAAUACGGGAUAAUAUAUUUGAGAGGCAUCUCUUGAAUAUCAAAGGUGAGCCAGUACAGGAUGGACCCGCGUCUGAUUAGCUAGUUGGUAAGGUAACGGCUUACCAAGGCGACGAUCAGUAGCCGACCUGAGAGGGUGAUCGGCCACAUUGGAACUGAGACACGGUCCAAACUCCUACGGGAGGCAGCAGUGGGGAAUAUUGCACAAUGGGCGAAAGCCUGAUGCAGCAACGCCGCGGGAGUGAUGAAGGCCUUCGGGUCGUAAAACUCUGUCCUCAAGGCAGAUAAUGACGGUAGUGGAGGAGGAUGCACCGGAUAACAACGUGCCAGCAGCCACGGUAAUACGUAGGGGGCUAGCGUUAUCCG